GCCACUGAGCUCGGCCUAUGCAUCCCUCCUAAAACUGCAUGCUCAAAGAGGAUGGGCUAUUCUUUGGUCAAGGGUAUACAAGUAGCUAUGCUCCCCUGCUAGAACUUUCAAACAAGUGCUCAAGGUCCACAGUGCUGAGAUUAUACACGUGAGCCACAGCGCUCGGUCAUAUGUAUAUAUUUUAAUUUUAU
rnacentral:sRNA from 1 species